AUUCACUUCAGCAGCAUAUACACUAAAAUUGGAAUGAUACAGAAAAGAUUAACAUGGUCCCUGCACAAAUUUGACACACAAAUUCGUUAAACAUUCCAUAUUUUU